rnacentral:pre_miRNA from 1 species
CAAGUACUCCCUCCGUCCGGAAUUACUUGUCAUCAAAAUGGAUGUGUCUAGAACUAAAAUACAUCUAGAUACAUCCAUUUCAAUGACAAGUAUUUCCGGACGAAGGGAGUACAAG